rnacentral:tRNA from 1 species
GCGGGCGUGGUGCAGGGGUAGCACGUCUGCCUUCCAAGCAGAAGGUCGCGGGUUCAAAUCCCGUCGCCCGCU